rnacentral:rRNA from 1 species
UACGUAGGGUGCGAGCGUUGUCCGGAAUUACUGGGCGUAAAGAGCUCGUAGGUGGUUUGUCGCGUUGUUCGUGAAAACUCACAGCUCAACUGUGGGCGUGCGGGCGAUACGGGCAGACUGGAGUACUGCAGGGGAGACUGGAAUUCCUGGUGUAGCGGUGGAAUGCGCAGAUAUCAGGAGGAACACCGGUGGCGAAGGCGGGUCUCUGGGCAGUAACUGACGCUGAGGCGCGAAAGCCAGGGUAGCGAACGGG